ACAACAAAACCAACCAACCAAACAAAAACCCAAAGCAACACAGUCCACCAUGGUCGCAGGGAGCCGCAGCUCAGGCGCAGACAGAAUGGGUAGUGUUGUGAGAGUGACCCGCGCUGCAAGCUCCCCUUGCUGCACCGCCCACCAGCACUGCUCUGCCCCCAUCAGGUCCUGCCUGUGCACUGGUGAUGCUAUUCCCAGAGGAUGGGGAAAAGCUCACUCACCAGCUCCUCCUGGAUCUCCUGGGUGCGCCUGUUGAGCUGCGCGUUGUACUGAUGUUUCAAGAAACGCCUAAAGACAAGAAUCAGGCAGCUUCAGUCUUGCAUGGCCGAUUAAUAGUGGUACCCUACAGACCACACCCGUUUUGGUUCUCAGGAGAUCCCACAGAAGCCUGAGAAGGCAAGAGACCUGCCCUCUGGGGAGAGCCCUGGGCAUCCCCGACCCACCCCAGCUCUGUCUUGCGCCGGAGGGCCGCCAUCUGCUUCCUUUCCUCCUCCAGCCUUUCCAGCUCCCAGCGCUGCGUCAGCAGGUUCUCUUGUUCCUUCUUCAGUUUGGUUG
rnacentral:lncRNA from 1 species